AGUGUGAUUUGCUGUUCAGUCUUACGGUUUAUGGGGCUUUCAUUCCUGCCUUAGUACAUUUAUUGAAUAGCCAUGUUCCAUGUAUGGGUGCUUUUUUUAAAUCCAGAUACGACGACUCUCACUCAUUGGGCGCCGGGAUUUAAGAAGCCUCACUGCAGGCAUUCUGCGCGCUGUCUUCACAGACGACUUGGGAGCGAAGUUCAGCACACUAGGCCAGCGGCAAAAAAAGAGCCUAAGAGACUUGCAUGUGUACAGUGUCAUUGAAGAGGCGAUUCGAAGUGAUCCUAUGAGUGCAAAUGCAACAACCCAUGCCAUUCGUCAAGCAGCAGCUGCCUGGCUGAAAAAUUGCAGUCUGCGAGCAGCUAAGAGGCACCAAAAGAACGUAGCGCAUACUUUGGUGGAACAUGCAUAGAAGUUUCAAAUUAUAGAGUGAGUUAUACAAAUAUUCUACCACCAUUCUUAUGCCGCCAAGUUAUUGAUGGUCUUGCUUCACUUCUCAUAUAUAUUUUUUCACCCCUAAGUGAUGGUGCUUGUUUUUGUUGUAUAUUUGUUCUUAUGCCAUUGUGCAUGCAUUCUUGUGACAGCCACUUGAAACCUGGCAGAAAACAAGCUGCUGUGCAUCCUUAGUGCUAACUGUGGUCAUAAAAAAAUUUCAGUUUCACAACUGCUAUGGUUAACACGCAC